rnacentral:tRNA from 2 species
GCUAGUGUAGCUCAAUUGGCAGAGCACCGGUUUUGUAAACCGGCGGUUGUGGGUUCAAGUCCCUCCACUAGCU